GGCUGCCCCCCCCCCAAUAAACUCGUGUGUUUCCCUUUGUCCCAGUGUCUUAUUUUGGAUGAAUGGGCUUCAGUGGAGGGGGCGGGGCCAGACAAUCCGGGCCUCCCAUUGGCUACUGACUGAGGGGGGCGUGGCCUCCUCAUUCCCACCCCCUUCCCUCAUUGGUCAGAAUUCAAUAGUGGGCGUGGCCACCGUAUUCCCGCCCCUUUCUUCCCAUUGGCCAAUCACAGUGCGGGCGGGGGGCGUGGCUUCAGCUUUCUUACCUCCUAUUGGUCGGAGGGACGGCGUGGGCGUGGCUUGCAACCCGGAAGCGGCAAGAUGGCGCGGAGCGGGGGGCCGCCAACGCUGACGGCGGAAGAGAUUGAAAAGGCGCGGGAAAUGAACCGGAAACCGGAAGUGAGGCAGGUCCUUGCAGCUGAGUUGGGCGGUUCGUGGCGUUCCCGUGUGUCGCACUUUGAUCCGGUUCCGUUUGCGGCCGCGUCCAUUGGUCAGGUCCAUCGCGCGGAGCUGCUCGACGGGACCCGAGUCGCCAUCAAAGUGCAGGUGGGGCUUUACCCUGCCAGGACCUGGGAGUUCCCUACUGCCCUAUAGAGCCCCAUAGCGCCCCCUAUUGCCCUAUAGAGCCCUAUAGAGCCCCAUAGAGCCCCAUAGCGCCUCCUACUGCCCCAUAGAGCCCUAUAGAGCCCCAUAGAGCCCUAUAGAGCCCCAUAGCGCCCCACAGCACCCACUAUUGCCCUAUAGAGCCCCAUAGAGCCCCAUAGUAACCCUUACUGCCCCAUAGCGCCCCCUAUUGCCCUAUAGAGACCCAUAGAGCCCCAUAGAGCCCCCUAUUGCCCUAUAGAGCCCCAUAGUAACCCUUACUGCCCCAUAGAGCCCCCUAUUGCCCCAUAGAGCCCCAUAGUAACCCUUACUGCCCCAUAGCUCCCCCUAUUGCCCUAUAGAGACCCAUAGUAACCCUUACUGCCCCAUAGCUCUCCCUAUUGCCCUAUAGAGACCCAUAGAGCCCCAUAGAGCCCCCUAUUGCCCUAUAGAGACCCAUAGAGCCCCAUAGAGCCCCCUAUUGCCCUAUAGAACCCCAUAGUGCCCCCUAUUGCCCUAUAGAGCCCCAUAGAGCCCCAUAGCGCUCCCUACUGCCCUAUAGAGCCCCAUAGAGCCCCAUAGUAACCCUUACUGCCCCAUAGCACCCCCUAUUGCCCUAUAGAGCCCCAUAGUAACCCUUACUGCCCCAUAGCUCCCCCUAUUGCCCUAUAGAGCCCCAUAGAGCCCCAUAGUAACCCUUACUGCCCCAUAGAGCCCUAUAGAGCCCCAUAGAGCCCCAUAGUAACCCUUACUGCCCCAUAGCGCCCCCUAUUGCCCUAUAGAGACCCAUAGAGCCCCAUAGUAACCCUUACUGCCCUAUAGA
rnacentral:lncRNA from 1 species